UUACGGCCACAUCACGUUGAAACACCGCUUCCCGUACGAUCACCGAAGUUAAGCAACGUCGAGCAUGUUAGGUAAUUAGAUGGAUAACCGUUUGGGAAUACCAGAUGCUGUAAG